rnacentral:rRNA from 1 species
AGAUUGAACGCUAGCGGGAUGCUUUACACAUGCAAGUCGAACGGCAGCGCGGACUUCGGUCUGGCGGCGAGUGGCGAACGGGUGAGUAAUAUAUCGGAACGUGCCCAGUAGCGGGGGAUAACUACGCGAAAGCGUGGCUAAUACCGCAUACGCCCUACGGGGGAAAGGGGGGGAUCGCAAGACCUCUCACUAUUGGAGCGGCCGAUAUCAGAUUAGCUAGUUGGUGAGGUAAAGGCUCACCAAGGCGACGAUCUGUAGCUGGUUUGAGAGGACGACCAGCCACACUGGGACUGAGACACGGCCCAGACUCCUACGGGAGGCAGCAGUGGGAAUUUGGACAAUGGGGGAACCCUGAUCCAGCCAUCCCGCGUGUGCGAGUGAAGGCCUUCGGGUUGUAAGCACUUUUGGCGUAGGAAGAACGGCGUGCCCGUAAGUACGGACGUCACUCGACGGUACCUGCAGAUAAGCGACCGCUAACUACGUCGCCGAGCGACGCCGACGGUAAUCUGA